rnacentral:rRNA from 1 species
UGCUAGUUGCACGAGUUCAGACUCGUAGCAGAUAGCUCAGUAACACGUGGCCAAACUACCCUAUGGAUCCGAAUAACCUCGGGAAACUGAGGCUAAUUCGGAAUACGAAUCCCAGGCUGGAACUGCCGGGAUUCCGAAACGUUACGGCGCCAUAGGAUGUGGCUGCGGCCGAUUAGGUAGACGGUGGGGUAACGGCCCACCGUGCCGAUAAUCGGUACGGGUUGUGAGAGCAAGAGCCCGGAGACGGUAUCUGAGACAAGAUACCGGGCCCUACGGGGCGCAGCAGGCGCGAAACCUUUACACUGCACGCGAGUGCGAUAAGGGGACUCCAAGUGCGAGGGCAUAUCGUCCUCGCUUUUCGCGACCGUAAGGUGGUCGCAGAAUAAGUGCUGGGCAAGACCGGUGCCAGCCGCCGCGGUAAUACCGGCAGCACGAGUGAUGACCGCUAUUAUUGGGCCUAAAGCGUCCGUAGCUGGCCAGCCAAGUCCAUCGGGAAAUCCGCGCGCUUAACGCGCGGGCGUCCGGUGGAAACUGGAUGGCUUGGGACCGGAAGACCAGAGGGGUACGUCCGGGGUAGGAGUGAAAUCCCGUAAUCCUGGACGGACCACCGGUGGCGAAAGCGCCUCUGGAAGACGGAUCCGACGGUGAGGGACGAAAGCUCGGGUCACGAACCGGAUUAGAUACCCGGGUAGUCCGAGCUGUAAACGAUGUCUGCUAGGUGUGACACAGGCUACGAGCCUGUGUUGUGCCGUAGGGAAGCCGUGAAGCAGACCGCCUGGGAAGUACGUCCGCAAGGAUGAAACUUAAAGGAAUUGGCGGGGGAGCACUACAACCGGAGGAGCCUGCGGUUUAAUUGGACUCAACGCCGGACAUCUCACCAGCAUCGACAACGUGCCGUGAAGGUCAGUGUGAUGAGCUUACUGGAGCCGUUGAGAGGANGUGCAUGGCCGCCGUCAGCUCGUACCGUGAGGCGUCCUGUUAGUCAGGCAACGAGCGAGACCCGCACUCCUAAUUGCNAGCACACCCUUGUGGUGGUUGGGUACAUUANGAGGACUGCCAGUGCCAA